rnacentral:lncRNA from 1 species
GCUUUAUUUUCCUUCUCUUGGCAGAUUCGUCCCAGAGCAGCAGCUCUUGCCUCCCCCAAUACAGAUGCAGCCGAUUACCUGUAGCACAGUCCGACCUCCAGCCCCGUCGCCUGUUUUCUCUCCAUCGCUGAUGAUCCCACACACCAGUUUCCCUUCCCACCAGACAAGCACCCCAGUUCAUCUCCACCAGUGGCCACAGCAACAGGUUCAGCAGCAUCGUCUCUACCUUCAGAUGCAAGGGCCCGAGUCGGUGCCAGGGGCACCAAACCAGCGCGUUUUCCAGCCAUCUCACACCCCGCAGCAGAGUCCCAUGGGCUACUUUGUGCACCCGCAGCAGCCGAGCCGCCACACGCAGGGCCAGCCCUGCAGCCUGCCCGACCUGCCGGAGAUGCAGCUGCCGUGAGCGCCGGGACGGGAUGGUGGCAGGACAUCAGCCGCAGCAGCUGGGCGCCCGGGCAUGGGCCAGGACAGGGACGGUGCCGCCCAAGGAGGAGAGGACCCGCGGGAAGGGGUGGCCAGAGGGAAGGUCCCGCAGGAGGGCUCGGGGGGGCCGUGUCCGUCAGCAUUUCCAUGCGGCCAGCCCUUGGCAUUGCAGCGGCCGCCGAGCCGGGACUCCUCGGACGGCGGGACCACGGCGCGCGGGAGGCUUCGGCCGUGAGUAGCUCCAGCUCCCGUCUGUGUCUGUCCUGGAGGGAGGGCAGCGUAAGUGGAAGUGCUAAAAGGCUACGGAGGCGAGCGGUGACUGGUGGGUGGCCCACCGCCCGCCGGGGCCGUCUCCAGACGCGGUUGCGAGGUGGGUGAGCGGGAGCUGCCUAGGGAGGGAAGCGCCGCGGGCGCCUGGGCGCCGCUCUGGGCUCCCAAGCCCUGCGUGCCCCCACGCGCGUGGCCGGCUGCAGGGAGGGCGUUUGUCAGGGCUCCUGGGCGCUCGCUUUGCAACGGAGAAAAAUGUUUCCCGUGCAGGACCUCGGUGCUGAGAGUCGCUGUGAAUUUACGGCCGGCAUUUGGGAGGGGCGCGCACGACCCCGGGCAGCAGGAUGCCAUGCGAUUAAUGUGUACGUAGCUCGUGUUGGUGUAGUAGCUCCAUCGUGGAUUUUUUUCCUUUUUUCUAUACCUCAAGCCCACAAUUUUUUGUUUUCCAGAAGAUUGGAUAAUGCUGCUAACUCACAUAACACCACUUUUGCCUGAAUUUCUUGCUCUUGUUAUACCAGCUCAUGGCACAACUAAUAAGAUAUUUGUCACGCUUCACUUUUUGGUUAACAAGUGCAGAUAAAUUUAUAUGUUUUUACUCCCUGUAGCCUUUUUUUUUUCAGGUUACAGACAAAGAUUCCUUGCUCUUACUUUGUUGCUAUUUUGUUUCAAGUGGGGGUUGCUGCACAUGUUUCUUUACACCUAAAAAACAAAAAAAACCCAUAUGACAGCAAACUUCUUUGUGGUUUUGCUAGGUCGUGUUUCAAUUUGACAAACCUAAAACUCAUACUCACCAUGACGCAAGCGAUGCUACAAGCCCAUAGGGUCAGCAAUAAAUUGUAUUUUUGUAAAUUGUCA